rnacentral:rRNA from 1 species
AUUGAACGCUGGCGGCAGGCUUAACACAUGCAAGUCGAGCGGUAACAGGGGGUGCUUGCACCCCGCUGACGAGCGGCGGACGGGUGAGUAAUGCUUAGGAAUCUGCCCAGUAGUGGGGGAUAGCCCGGGGAAACCCGGAUUAAUACCGCAUACGUCCUACGGGAGAAAGCAGGGGAUCUUCGGACCUUGCGCUAUUGGAUGAGCCUAAGUCGGAUUAGCUAGUUGGUGGGGUAAAGGCCUACCAAGGCGACGAUCCGUAGCUGGUUUGAGAGGAUGAUCAGCCACAUCGGGACUGAGACACGGCCCGAACUCCUACGGGAGGCAGCAGUGGGGAAUAUUGGACAAUGGGGGCAACCCUGAUCCAGCCAUGCCGCGUGUGUGAAGAAGGCUUUCGGGUUGUAAAGCACUUUCAGUGAGGAGGAAAACCUUACGGUUAAUAACCGUGAGGCUUGACGUUACUCACAGAAGAAGCACCGGCUAACUCCGUGCCAGCAGCCGCGGUAAUACGGAGGGUGCAAGCGUUAAUCGGAAUUACUGGGCGUAAAGCGCGCGUAGGUGGUUCGAUAAGCGGGAUGUGAAAGCCCCGGGCUUAACCUGGGAACGGCAUUCCGAACUGUCGGGCUAGAGUAUGGUAGAGGGUAGUGGAAUUUCCUG